UNAGUUUGAUCCUGGCUCANGAUGAACGCUAUCGGCAGGCUUAACACAUGCAAGUCGAGGGGCAGCACGUCUUCNGAUGGUGGCGACCGGCGCACGGGUGCGUAACGCGNAUACAAUCUACCUUGUANAGGGGGAUAGCCCGGGGAAACCCGGAUUAAUACCCCAUAGUACUAANAUUCAGCAUUGGAUUUUGGUUAAACAUUUAUGGCUACAANAUGAGUAUGCGUCCUAUUANUUAGUUGGUAAGGUAACGGCUUACCAAGACCGCGAUAGGUAGGGGUCCUGANAGGGAGAUCCCCCACACUGGUACUGAGACACGGACCAGACUCCUACGGGAGGCAGCANUGAGGAAUAUUGGACAAUGGGCGAGAGCCUGAUCCANCCNUGCCGCGUGCAGGAANACGGCCCUAUGGGUUGUAAACUGCUUUUAUACGGGAAGAAACACCUCUUCGUGAAGAGGCUUGACGGUACCGUAAGAAUAAGGAUCGGCUAACUCCGUGCCAGCAGCCGCGGUAAUACGGAGGAUCCAAGCGUUAUCCGGAAUCAUUGGNUUUAAAGGGUCCGUAGGCGGGAUAAUAAGUCAGUGGUGAAAGUCUGUGACUCAACCAUAAAAUUGCCAUUGAUACUGUUGUUCUUGAGUGUUUAUGAAGUGGUUAAAAUAUGUAGUGUANCGGUGAAAUGCAUAAAUAUUACAUANAAUACCGAUUGCAAAGGCANNAUCACUANUAAAAAUACUGACCNUGAUGGACGAAAGCNUAUGGUANCGAACNAGNAUUAAGAUACCCUGNUAGUCUACNCCGUAACCGAAGGUUACUACCUNUUCGGAAN
rnacentral:rRNA from 1 species